rnacentral:rRNA from 1 species
AGAGUUUGAUCCUGGCUCAGGAUGAACGCUAGCUACAGGCUUAACACAUGCAAGUCGAGCGGAACUACUUCGGUAGUUUAGCGGCAGACGGGUGAGUAACACGUAUCCAACCUUUCCCUCACUCGGGUAUAGCCUCGGGAAACUGAGAGUAAUCCCCGAUGAAGUGUACGAGGAGCAUUUUUUGCACACCAAAGAUUAAUCGGUGAGGGUGGGGAUGCGUUCCAUUAGCUGGUAGGCGGGGCAACGGCCCACCUAGGCGAUGAUGGAUAGGGGUUCUGAGAGGAAGGUCCCCCACAUUGGAACUGAGACACGGUCCAGACUCCUACGGGAGGCAGCAGUGAGGAAUAUUGGACAAUGGCCGAGAGGCUGAUCCAGCCAUGCCGCGUGCGGGAGGACGGCCCUAUGGGUUGUAAACCGCUUUUGUUGGGGAGCAAUAAGUCUUACGUGUAAGAUGAUGAGAGUACCCAGCGAAUAAGCAUCGGCUAACUCCGUGCC